rnacentral:rRNA from 1 species
CCCUUAGAUGUUCUGGGCAGCACGCGCGCUACAAUGGUCUUCGCAAACGGAUGCAUUCUCGAAGGAGAGUGCCAAUCUUGGAAUCUAUGCCUUGGUCGGGACAGUUGCUUGCAAUUUUUCGACUCGAACCAGGAAUUCCUUGUAAUCGUGAUUCAUCACAUCACGAUGAAUACGUCCCUGCCCUUUGUACACACCGCCCGUCGCUCCUACCGAUUGAAUGGUUUAGUGAGAUCUCCGGAUUGGCGCCAUCGAGGCUUCGCGGCUUCGACGGAUUGCCGAAAAGUUGAUCAAACUUGAUUAUUUAGAGGAAGUAAAAGUCGUAACA